GAAUUGUAUGAAGUAGGUGGACGGAAAGACUGUAAUCAUCUAGUACCUCACCCAAUGAGGGAAAAGGGGAGGACUGUGGCGGACUGAGGAGCAAAAGGAGCUACUUCGUGUGUUUGUACUUGGGAGAGAUUCUGACGGAGCAGGCUCUCCCCGUCUAUUGCAAUGAACGAAGGAAACACCUCACUCUGUUGGUAGUCUUGGUUAUUUAACUUGAGGAGAAGUAUUUUCGCAACUUUUGGCAUAACAUGAUCAAACAAGUAUCAGUUAUUUAGGAUUCUAUCAGAGGGAGACAUAAGUCAAAAACAGAAGAUAAAUUUCAGCCGAGAAGGUCAGAAUGUGUAACAGAUAAGCCUGGAGCCAGCUGUUUGGACACCAGAAGUGCAGGUCAAGAUAACCAUGUACGAAAGUAACAGCAUGUCUUCUGCAUGAUGUUUUUUCUACAUCCGAUCGUUGCAAAAAGCUAAACUUAUAAAAGCGCCGUGUACGAUGGCUGCGGCAGCCGAUCCCAGCGGGAGAUGGGCUCACUCUCUAUCGCUAGUGUGCACCUGCAAUCAAGCCUUUUUAUACAGCUUGUCCAGCUGGUGUUGCUUGUCUCUUCCACGGUCAGACCACAGAUGAGGGACCUCUCUUUUUUUCCUGCCCUCAACGUUUCUAAGCUGGAGUGCCCAGGAAGCAGCAGCAGAUCAUCGGGGGCCUUCUGGAAGAGGUCUUGAUCAUGAGGAGGGCCUUAUGCAUGAGGCAUCUGCCUCCACAAAUGGGAACUCCUGAACCAAGCCACCAUCCUGGGCUACAGCUUCAGGCCUGGUAUUCCUGGAGGCCCUGUGAGAGUUCACCAACACCCUGCACCUGAGCAGCUGCCUUCUCUGCUUUUCCUGCUUGUCUCUUCCUGAAGCCCCAGGACUGUCUUCAGCAGACCGGGGACAUCUGAGGACUUCUGCCUUUCCCUGGCCAGAAACCCCUACAAGGGAAUCAUGACAGUGUGUGUGCAACCUAGAUGUUGCUGGAAUCCAACUCCCAUUCGCCCCAGCCAGCAUGGCCAACAGCCAAGGAUUAUGGAGGUUAUAGUGCAGCAUCUGGCAGUGUAAAAGUUCCCACCCUGAACUUUCCCACAAUGACUGGAAGUUCAGACAGGCAUCCUUUUCCAGCCUUACUUGGAGAUCCAAAAGGCCUAACCCUGAUCACAAAUACGGAACCUGCUCGAUGAACAUGCAAACGUCAAGCAAACCAGGGGCAGUGGAUGCAAGCCAUGCGCCUCUUCCUCCAUGUCUGUAUCUGUGCCAUCGACAGAAAGCAUCUGUUUGCAAUCCUGCUAAAAACUGGCAGAAAAGUGGCCCAACGGUUCAACUGACAGAUGGUGCAGCACCUGUCUGAACGUUUCCUCCCCACACCUAUGACUUCCAAGAGAGUUGUUUUCUUUCCCAGGGAAAACAUAACCGCCAUCUUCUUACCCGUGGUUAAGAACGUAGUUCACAGGUUACCUACCACCCUCUGGCCCAAAGUCCCCUUCUAUUCCCUUCCGGGUCUUAACCUUGAUUUAGUCAUACGUCCUUCUGCACUGACCGGUUUCUCCCUUAAUCAAGGACUGCCAACCUUCUCCAGACUCAAGUCAAGAGUGGCCACGGGUGGGCCCUGCAUGACAUGCGAAGCCUCCCCGUGAGUAACCGACACCAUGUGAACAGUCAGCCAUGCACCUGACAGACAAUCAUGCGCACCUUUCCCCCUCAGGCCUCCAGCCAAGAUCCCACAGUCCUUUGCAGCAGAACCUGCAAACGCAUGAUGAGCCUGCCCUCCCAGCUGUCGAUACCAUGGCAACACACCGUGGCUGAAAUAACUCCUAGAAUAGCCCAUGGGUUGCCAGGGUGGCUUUGCUGCUCAAAGAAUGAGCCGCCUUGCAAAAAGGCAUUCUGAUUGAGGAUGACAUGGCAACAUACCAUGGCUAGUUACCCAGGACAGGUUGUUGCAUCAUGUCAACCAGGUCUGUGAGUUGCAUUGGCCAAGAUAUGACACUUGACCAUAGACUACAGCUGAUGAGGGGAAAGAGACAGGAAUCUGCCCCAAGGGGAGAAGCAAAUGUGAGCCCAGCAGCCCACUCCCAAGCUCUCCUCCCAAUAACUGUGGUAGGAUUACAAGUGCAGCAGGCCUUGAAAUACCGGGAACUCUGCUGGCCCACUGAAGUAGUCCAGUCUAGGAAGAAUGGAUACACAGGACGGAACAGACUGCUUACCACUUGUGAAUCACUGUGGAAGACGGUGCAUUGUUUUCACCCAGUUGACUGGAAGAUGUAGCCCCUCCCCAAAUUCAGGUAUGCCAGUUCUGAUGUAACAGGAAUAAAAAGUCAGGUGGCAUUGAAUCUCUGAAAUAAGUUGUAUGACCCCAGGCUGAACAUGCUUGCUACUUCUCUCUGGGCAAAAUGUUUGACUCCUGUUAUUUGCUUAAUGGCAUCUCCCUUGGCUGACUGGAGAAAUACAAUGCUUUGCUCCAUGCAGUACGAGGAAGAAAACAACACUGUUUAGGUAUCCUGUAUACCAGGAGAACAAAAAUACAGAACAUAGCGUGUUUUGUUCUUGAGCAUAAAAUUACACUCUUAAUUGCAUUCUCAGCAUCUGGAGUAGCAGCCUUAUUAGGAGAAAAGGAGUUAUAUCUUGCUCUUUGGAGAUAAUCAUUAACAAUUAUUGGGUAACCCCAUUGUUUGGUGUUUUUCCAAAUGGCCGUCUAGCAGACACUGAAGAACUGAUCAAGUGAUCAUGCUUAACAAGCAAAAAUGACAGCUUUCAAGCCACAGCAUGGUGGUGAUUUGUUCAAUUAAUAUUAUUCUUAACUCCUCUUAGAUAGUUCGGUUUUCAGCCAAAGUUCUGAAUUGUAUUGGAAGGUGAGGCAAAAAUACAGGGAUCCCUUAACGUAAAACAUGCAGUGAAAAAAGAGAUACCUACCCCAAAGGGCCCCUGAUGCUUCCUGAUGCUUCCCACAUUUCUGUUAACAGGGGCCACCUCUCAGGACUUAGAGAAAGGAGAAGAGAAGGAUCUCUCUUCAGAGAAAUGCCACUGCUCCGUCUCAGUGGUACCCACAAAGCUGCUUGCGACAAGGCCAGGAGCAGCAACCUGGAACACUGCUGAAAGGAUGCUCAGCCCGCUCCUCUCAGCUGAGCAGUGCAGAAGGGAAACACGCGUAGGGUUAGUCCCCACACACUUUCCCAUUUAAGUGAAGAGCUGCCACUCACCAGCCCAGAGGGGCUGUAGCUGAGGGACAGAACACAUAUUUUGCAUGCAGGAGAUCUUAGGAUCACUUCAUGGCAUCGGAGUUAAAAGGGCCAGAGCCAACGUGGCGCCACAGUUAGUGCUGGACAGGAAUCUGGGAGAUCUGAUUUCUAUUCUCCACUUGGUCCUGGACUUUGGGCAAGUCACUGAUUCCCAGUGGGGAGGAAGAGGACUGUGGAAGCUGUUUCGGGUCCCUUGCAAAAGCAAAAAGGUGGAAUGUAAGUGCACAGAUGAGAAGGCAGGGGAACACCUGGACUGAACACUGCCUACAACUCUACAGAGAUGUUCCAGCCGGCACAGAAGUCCAGCCAGGUCAGGCAGGUGAGCAGCCCAACCUGGUACGUGGGGGCUUCCUCUCCUCCAAAACAGGCCACCAAGGCCACUGCCGCGGAUCUCAGAUUACCCCAUGCAUAGGCUGGCCUGGAAAAGGCCAAGUCAACACUCACAAUAUUCAUUGCGGUACUUAUUCUAUUUAUAUCCCAUGCUUUUCUUUCAAGGAACUCAAAGCAGCUUACGUCAUUUCCCUAUUCCUCUCCAGGUCAUCCUCACAACCGCAGCCCUGCAAGGUAGGUUGGGCUGAGUGUCUGCAACUGAGUGGCCCAAAGUCACCCAGUGCAAAGCCGCUCCACGUCUGAAUGGGGACUAAAGCCUAGUUCUCCUGAGUCCCAGUCCCACACUCUGACCCACCGUACACAAUACUCCAUGCACUUGCUAAGGAAAACUCAUCCUUCUGCUGGCACAGACAGCAACACACACCCCUUGCCGGAAAUAUUUCUUCGUGACGGCUAUGUUGUCCUGGCCUCGGCCUGAGUAGAUCUGAUGGGCUGAACUUCUUUCAACUCAGGAGCUGAAUUCCACUGCAGAACAGUUCUCGGGGCUGCAUUCCAGGGGCUGAAAGCAGGCCCAAAGGGCAAAGGCUGAGAGACCCAAGGUAAUGGUGCAUUGCCACUUAGAACUCUUACUGGCCCAAACUAAGCUUUAGGAGAGGGACCACAACUUUUUAAAGUGCGAUGAGGGGCACACACAAAAUCAAGGGAAUUUGUAGGUAGAUAAACAGAUGCCCUCCUUCCCCUCCCUGAUGGGCGAUUCCAAUAGCUUUGAAGAAGAUGUGGAGCAGUCUGAGAAAGGUUCUGUGCCCUCAGAGCUCUGAGGAAGUGGAAACAUACCAAAGUGUGUGUGUUUCUGACACAGGCAGUUUCAGGCAAGUGGAACUAGUAGUUCUCCCCUAGCCUGGCUUUCUUCCAGCUCUCAUUUAUUCUGUCCCCCCCGCCCCCCGGCUCUAUCUCCGCACGCACACUCUCCCAGUACAUUCAUGCCCAUCUCUCUGAUUAAGCAAAGUCCACUUUCCACAGCUGCUGGUCUUGCUGAGAAGACCUCCCUUCAUCAGGACUAGUCAUUCUGCAGCUGCUGGACUCUUGGGGGUGGGGGGUGUCCUUCUUAAAUUCAAACCAGGCUCCAAGAGCGUCAAGUUUCCAGUUGCUCAGCAUUUGUCACCACUUCUCCACACUCAUGCCGUGGCUUUUGUUCUCACCCAUUCCUGCAUGCUUGGGAUGUCUAUGAACAGCUUUGGGAAGGGAACGCAAGAGCAAUGCUUUUAACCUGUACAUUAUGACAAAAUCACAAUUGUCAUAUAAAGCCACAAUUGUCAUUCUGGGGGAAGCCCUUAAAAAGGGCUUGUUUGGAAUACUGAUGGCCAACAAACUCAGCAGGUUAAAAUGUAUACAUACUUUGAAGGCUUUUUUUCACUGUUUCAUAGAAUCUAUUGAGACUAAAGUGGAUUGUGUGUCUAAUGGAAUUUGUAAAGAUAGGUACCCUCAUUGGGAUAAACAGGUGAUUCCUGCUCUAAAAAUAA